rnacentral:rRNA from 1 species
GGAGAGAACGUGUGGUGGAUAGUGGCGAAAGGGUGAGGAACACGUGGGUAACCUACCCUGGAGUUGGGGAUAACCAGGCGAAAGCCUGGCUAAUACCGAAUGUGGUCUUCCUGCGCAUGCAGGGAUGACUAAAGGCGGGGAUCCUUCGGGACCUGCCGCUCCAUGAGGGGCCCGCGUCCCAUCAGUUUGUUGGUGAGGUAACGGCUCACCAAGGCAACAACGGGUAGCUGGUCUGAGAGGAUGGUCAGCCACACUGGGACUGAGACACUGCCCAGACUCCUACGGGAGGCUGCAGUCGAGGAUCAUUUGCAAUGCGCGAAAGCGUGACAAUGCGACGCUGCGUGGAGGAUGACGGCCUUCGGGUUGUAAACUCCUGUCAUUCGGGAACAAUGACACGAGGGAUAGUACCCCUUGUGAGUGAUGGUACCGAAAGAGGAAGCCACGGCUAACUCUGUGCCAGCAGCCGCGGUAAUACAGAGGUGGCAAGCGUUGUUCGGAUUUACUGGGCGUAAAGGGUGCGUAGGUGGUUUUGUAUGUCGGAUGUGAAAGCCCACUGCUCAACGGUGGAAUUGCAUUCGAAACUGCGGAACUAGAGUACAGGAAGGGAGAGUGGAAUUCUUGGUGUAGCGGUGAAAUGUGUUGAUAUCAAGAAGAACACCGGUGGCGAAGGCGGCUCUCUGGAAUGUUACUGACACUGAGGCACGAAAGCUGGGGGAGCGAACAGGAUUAGAUACCCUGGUAGUCCCAGCCGUAAACGGUGUGAACUUGGUGUGGGGGGUAUUGACCCCCCCCGUGCCGGAGCUAACGCGUUAAGUUCACCGCCUGGGGAGUACGGCCGCAAGGCUAAAACUCAAAGAAAUUGACGGGGGCCCGCACAAGCGGAGGAGCAUGUGGCUCAAUUCGAUGCAACGCGAAGAACCUUACCAGGGCUUGACAUGCAGCUGCACGUCCGGUGAAAGUCGGAUUCCUUUGAGGGUGCUGCACAGGUGCUGCAUGGCUGUCGUCAGUUCGUGGCGUGAGGUGUUGGGUUAAGUCCCGCAACGAACGCAACCCUUGUGUUUAGUUGCUAUCGCAGGUGAUGAGCCUGCGAGCACUCUAGACAGACUGCCCGUACAAGCGGGAGGAAGGUGGGGACGACGUCAAGUCAGUAUGGCCCUUACGCCCUGGGCUGCACACGUGCUACAAUGGCCGGUACAGUGAGAUGCAAUGUCGUGAGGC